UACGUAGGUGGCAGGCGUUGUCCGGAUUUAUUGGGCGUAAAGAGCUCGUAGGCGGCUCGUCGCGUCGACCGUGAAAACCCGCGGCUUAACUGCGGGCUUGCGGUUGAUACGGGCGGGCUAGAGUUCGGUAGGGGAGACUGGAAUUCCUGGUGUAGCGGUGAAAUGCGCAGAUAUCAGGAGGAACACCGGUGGCGAAGGCGGGUCUCUGGGCCGAUACUGACGCUGAGGAGCGAAAGCGUGGGGAGCGAACAGG
rnacentral:rRNA from 1 species